ACUGGGAGAGGUCGUUCAAUACUACCAGACUCGAGAGCAGUAGAGGAAAGUGGAAUUCCCGGUGUAGUGGUGAAAUGCGUAGAUAUCGGGAGGAACACCAGUGGCGAAAGCGGCUUUCUGGACUGUUUCUGACACUCAGACACGAAAGCUAGGGUAGCAAACGGGAUUAGAGACCCCGGUAGUCCUAGCUGUAAACGAUGUGAACUUGGCGUCGGCGGGUUCAAAGCCGUCGGUGCCGUAGCCAACGCGAUAAGUUCACCACCUGGGGACUACGGCCGCAAGGUUAAAACUCAAAGGAAUUGACGGGUCCCCGCACAAGCAGCGGAGCGUGUGGUUUAAUUCGAUGUUACACGAAGAACCUUACCCAGGUUUGACAUGUUGGUGGUAGGGAAGCGAAAGCAGACCGACCCGCAAGGGAGCCUUCACAGGUGUUG
rnacentral:rRNA from 1 species